GGGAGUUCCCGAGUUUCCCCGGAAACUGCCGAAAACUUACGAGAAUCUGAAACUGAAAAGAGCCAGAAACACAAGACAAUUUUCUAGAGGGUCAAGUCAAAGAAGCUGUCCGCCAGUGUUGUACAGUGGAGAGAAUAAGGUGGAACAUCCUGGUCCAGAGGGGAGGAAAAGGAAGCAAGAAGGAAUAGGAGAAAAGAAAUCUGUAGGAGAGGACUUGGAACCACAAGGAGAGAUGAGCCAGACCUAAGGCAUCUCUACGGCCAGCCCCAAGGAACCUGACAAACUGGAUAUCAGGCAUCUGUGAAGCCACCUAUGGACCACCUGGAACCACCUGUGCAUGCUGUGGGUCACCUUAUAAGAGAACUCAAAGCUGCUCCUCUUUCUCUUUUUCUCUCCUGCCCCGUCCAGAAACAGUCUUUGUGACCUCUUCCCCCUUCCCUUCCCCCUUCCCUUCCCCCUUCCCUCCCCUUCCUCUUCCCCUAAUACACCUCUCUCGUGGAACCGGUCCUGUGGCAUGAUUUGUGAAAUUGCCUUGUAAUUCUCAUCCUGCACGAUUUCUAACACUUACUUCAUUUGAUCUGAACAAUAAAGAUUC